CAACAUUUCGAAGACCAAUUUGGAAGUGUAGUUGAAGGACAGGGAACAGAGCGAGAGGCAGUAGCACACGCCGAGGUGCGGUACUAAGUCGUCUUCCUCUUCGAUCCUGGUACCUUCCCGGCUUAGCGGAGGAGUGGUGGUGGGUGCCCUUCACGUCUUCUCUCCCUCCAACCCACCACAGCCUCACUCACUCGUAGAAGGCCUCGACCAUUGGGCCACGUACAUACACUGACAUCGAGGGAGGCCCAUGCAGGCCGUGGUGCCUUCGCGGAGAAUGCACUGAAGAGUACCACUACUACUACUACUAUUAGUACUACCUUGGCCCGGACGGAUAUUUUCGGCACGGAAAAUGAUGGUCGCUGGUGGUUUGGCGGGUGGCGAAGUGGCAAAAGAGAAGGCAGGAGGCUCCUUGGAAGUGAGGAGGAGUGUGUGACUAGUAAUCUACUGGUUUGGUCCUGUAAACUCAGCCAGCAGGGAAUAGGAAUUCUAGUUGAAGAAGAAGCACAAGGAGCAGAAGAAGAAUAAAAAAAAGGAAAGAACAGUGGAAGAAGACGAGGAAGAGGUUGAUUACUUCUCUCUCUGUCUCUUGUGGGGGAAAAUCAGGAUUGAUUUUCAGCUUUGGCUUUGUUAGAGGUGCUACAUUGAGGACUCAUGUGCAACAGUUUUUGACGUAUCCACAUCCUUCUGUGAGUCCGAAUCAAUUCUACCUCACCUCUGUAGCUAGCUGGUGAUUCUAAAACCCCUUGAGAACGAGGUGCACACUUGGUCAAAGGCCAAACACCUUCAUUGCCAUCGGCAUCAUCAUCAACAACAGUAUCAGUUCUACUAAUACUUCCACCACCAACAGCACCUUUACCAUCAUCAUCAAGAAUCCAUUAGGUGCAACUUCAAAGAGACUUGUGUUUUGGGCUCAACGUGGUGGAAUUGUAACAUCGUCUUGAGAGCAGGUUUCAGAGGCGUCGCUGUCCAUUUUUCCGAUAUUUAUUGCAACAUUUCGGUUCAUGGGCGUGUGAAUAACGUCACAAGUUGCUUCCGUUUGGCCUUUGUAGUCCGCGGCCGUUUUUGAGUGACUGGAACACGGGAGGACAUCCCCUCCAAAAAAGCCGCAUCAUGCCGUUAUUCGGGAAAAAGAGUGAUAAGUCGAAAUCCUCGCCAAAAGAGGACAAAGAGGAUAAGAAGAGCUCCAAAGUGCCCACUGUGGAAGACAAAUACAUCCUGAAAGAUGUCUUGGGAACGGGUGCGUUUUCUCAAGUCCGCUUGGCCGAGAGCAAAGACAAUCCGGGCAGACUUCAUGCCAUCAAAGUGAUAGAUAAGAAGGCGCUCAAGGGCAAAGAGGAUUCCCUGGAGAACGAGAUCAGAGUUCUUAGAAGAUUACAUCAUCCUAAUAUAGUUGAACUUCUUGAGGUUCACGAAGAGAAAAACAAAGUUUAUUUAGUAAUGGAACUAGUGACGGGUGGAGAGCUAUUCGACCGGAUCGUCGAGAAAGGCUCCUACACAGAGAAGGACGCUGCCGACCUCAUCAAGCAAGUCUUGGAUGCCGUGGCCUACAUGCACAGAGAGGGUGUGGUCCAUCGGGAUCUCAAGCCCGAGAACUUGCUCUAUCAAUGUCAGGAUGAGGACAGCAAGAUCAUGAUCAGCGACUUCGGACUCUCCAAAAUGGAGGACUCGGGCAUCAUGGCCACCGCGUGUGGAACUCCAGGUUACGUAGCGCCUGAGGUCCUGGCUCAAAAACCAUACGGCAAAUCUGUGGACGUGUGGAGCAUUGGUGUGAUCUCCUAUAUUCUCCUUUGUGGUUAUCCCCCAUUCUACGAUGAAAACGACGCAAACUUAUUUGCACAGAUCCUGAAAGGUGAAUUUGAAUUUGACUCCCCUUAUUGGGACGAUAUCAGUGAGGAGGCCAAAGAGUUCAUUCGUCAACUCAUGUGCGUGGAUGUAGAGAAGCGGCUCAGUUGUGAAGAAGCCUUGAAACACGCAUGGAUCACUGGUGCUAAGGGAGACAGGAACAUUCAUGCUUCAGUAUCUGAGCAACUGAAGAAAAACUUUGCCAAGUCCAGAUGGAAGCAACUAAUGAAUGCCAUAGUCAUGGUGCAUAAGAUGCAACGAAUGGCUCUUAACACCAGCAAUAGCCAACAAAGCUCGCCCACUUCAAAAGCUCCACCCACGGACACUUCAGACCUCAAUGGACCCACUCCAGUGUUGCCGAGGUCCCAGUUGGCCGCAGGUGGACCAGUUGUUGCCAACAGAACGCCCUCUGGUGGCAGAGCUAAACAUCAAGUUGACGAGAAUGCUGCUGUGAGGUUGGAGAAGGCUGGGGAACAAGAAGCAAGCGUACAAUGCCAUCGCGGUGAGUCGUCAAUUGAAAAACAUGGUGAUCAUGAGCAGCACCGCCAACAUGGCCGCAUCAGCCAACAACAGCGCAGCCUCGCAGGAGGAAAGCAGCAACAAAACCAGUUCCAAUAGCGUGACCGAAUCCAAGUCUUCCACAGAGAAAUCCACAACCAAUCGGACAACCCCAACGAGUGCUGGCGUUGCCUCUGAAGUAAGAAAAAGGUAAACGGUCAACGAUGAUAUUGCUAUCCGAUCCAUCCAGAGAUUCACUUUCUUUGCGAGCGGCUGUUCAAUGAAGACAAAUGUGGGUCCCCGUAAAGUCGAUUUGACGAAAAUGAGAUCAAUCCCAUAUUUGGGCAUAUGUCCCUCCACGACGAGGCCUGCCUUGUUGAAAUUUACCCUAACUAACCCAUCUUGAACCCUGCCAUCUGUUUGGUUCCUCUUGCCCUUCCCUUCUUCAGAUGGCAGCAAGUGUGGGGCAAUGUGACUUUUUUGAAAACAAUGGAAAGUGGUCACCCUUGCCCCAGAUUUAGAUCUGGGCUGUGUUCUUUUCCCCGGCACGAAUCGUCCUCAAGGCAAACAAACCCAUUCCCAUUAUCAUUCAUUCUGGAUGAAUAAGAUGACGAAUCAAACCUAUGUAUGCAUCAAUCAAUUGGCCUGCCUAUCAAUGAGUUAUUUUUCCCCCAAGACUUCCUUUCACACAGUAAAUAGGAACCUUUCCUCCAUGGAAAUUUGAGCAACUUUGUUCCAUUUAUUUAUGUAUUCUUUUUAUGUGGAAGGCACCGAUUAUUGGUAAACUACAUUUUUAAGAUCGAACAACGUUCAGAUGGCUGCUACAUCCCAAGAUUGUUCCCAAGUGUCCUAUUGUGGGGUCAUAUCUGAACAAAACUCCCAUACAAAACCACGAUUUCCUCUUUCUCUCUGGUAGUUAAUGACUAUUUUUCUUAGUAUCCCCGUACAUUUUCUUCCUUAUCCAGUCUCAGUGUAUAUUUUAUCACCUAUUCUGCUCGCCUCCAACUCUGCAACUUCACUUUGGCUAAAUCCCAUCUGAUAAAGAAACGCCCAUUCCCAUGGAACGAUACGCAAUCGUUCCAUAUGGAGGAAUGAUUAAAUGUUCUGGCCUUCUUCGAGAAAAAGGGACAGGUUGCCUUCCAUGUUCAUAUCUGAUUUUAUCUUUGCUAUUGUUACAACUACCAUUAGUACGAUAAACCAACAUCCUUACAUCAAGAUUAUAUUACAAAUACUACUACUACUGCUACUACUGCAACUCCUGCUACUACUACUACUAUUAAUAUUACUACACUAUACUAUACUACUGCUAUUGCUACUACAACUCCUUCUCCUACUACUACUAUCACUAUUAAUACUAAUUUUACCAUUAAUCCCAUUACUAAUCGAUUAUUAUGAACACCCUUUACCACAGAAUACAACAGUUGUUCACCA